rnacentral:lncRNA from 1 species
UUGACUUUUGGUCAACAUCCCUAGUUGACCCGAUUUGCCGAAAUCUGACUCAGUUUUGAAUCAGUUCUCACACUAACAUAUGUCAAAAAAAGAUCAGUGUUUCCACACAUUAACUGACCAAAUCAGCUUCAUUUUCUAGUAUGAGAAACAGUAAGAACAAGGAAAUAGAAUUUGACAUAAUUUAAUGCAGAUGUUUCAUGAGUAUCAUUGACUGGUAAAUAAACAUAAAUUGUAAAAGGCAGGAAUUAGACUUGGAAUAAGUUGCAGUAAGCAACAUGUUUCAGAGAGGAGAAAGGUAUUUUGGCAGCUGCAGUAGGCAUGCAGGAGCGAGCACUCCCACGAUACAUAUAUAUGUACAGUCUAAAAGAGUCACCAGAGAAAGACUUUCCUCCAUGUUGAUGCAGCAGGAGCACGAUAUGUUUAUGCAGUAGCAGCUGCAGCUUCUUCAGCCAUUUGCGACACAGGAAGAAGGGUGCAGAUGAGAUUACGAUCGCCAUACACGUUGUCGACGCGUCCUAGUGAAUAAACCACAACCAAAUGCAGUAUUGUCACUCUCAGUUCUCUUCCUGGUAAAUGAAAGCAAGAUGAGUGAGUCAAAGCUCGUACCUGUAGUUGGCCAGAAUUUAGCACCUCGGAGCCAAGCAGCAGGGAAAGCUGC